GGCUCGGUUUUCGGUUCCUGUAGCAACUUCUUCGCCUCCAUUUCCUGUCUGAACUUUAGCUGCAGCUGCUGCUGUCUCAGCUUCCUCUGCUGCUUGGAGUCCAGUGGAGGAUCAGACGAGGACAGAGUCCUGGUGAGCUGAUGUGUUGCCAGAAUGUGCUGUCGUGUUUGUCAAUGAAGUCCUGGAUCCGGUGCCGCUCUCAUGCCCUCCUCGUACAGGGCGACUUCCCAUUCGCUCAAAAGGGAUGUUGGCUGGUUCCGCCGGUUUGAUAAAUUCCCUGCUGUUGGCUCGGGCCAGGCUGUCGAACCUGGCCUUCUCUACGGACGGCUCGCCAUCACAGCGUUUGGUUUUGUCCGGGUCUAAAGGAGGAGGUGGCUGCGAUGACAGGAAAUACAAUGUAUUUCAGUGACAGAGCUUUGGAUUUGAGGCCUUCGCUCACCCCAUAACCUACAUCCUCAUGGAACGAGCCAUCCUAUGGAAAAGAUAGAGGAAACAGAAUGGUACAUGUAUGCUCCUCACAAUGCUGCGUGUAUCCCGUCAGAGUGCUUACCUUCAAUUGGACCUUCACAAAGGCACUGACUCCAACAUAAAAUUUCCCAUUGAUAAGGUCUACAAAAUCUGUAACACAAGAUUGACCACACCCCCUUUCAAAAACAAGUAUCAACCUGAUUUAAAUGCAGCAUAAAUGGGAAUGUUUGAGAAUCUGUGCCUGUCUUGAUGAC